UACGGAGGGGCCUAGCGUUGUUCGGAAUUACUGGGCGUAAAGCGCACGUAGGCGGAUUUGUAAGUCAGGUGUGAAAUCCCGGGGCUCAACCUCGGAACUGCCUUUGAUACUGCAAAUCUCGAGUCCGGAAGAGGUGAGUGGAAUUCCUAGUGUAGAGGUGAAAUUCGUAGAUAUUAGGAAGAACACCAGUGGCGAAGGCGGCUCACUGGUCCGGUACUGACGCUGAGGUGCGAAAGCAUGGGGAGCGAACAGG
rnacentral:rRNA from 1 species